rnacentral:rRNA from 1 species
AUUGAACGCUGGCGGCAUGCCUUACACAUGCAAGUCGAACGGUAACAGGUCUUCGACUGCUGACGAGUGGCGAACGGGUGAGUAAUACAUCGGAACGUGCCCAGACGUGGGGGAUAACGAGGCGAAAGCUUUGCUAAUACCGCAUACGAUCUAAGGAUGAAAGCAGGGGACCGCAAGGCCUUGUGCGUUUGGAGCGGCCGAUGGCAGAUUAGGUAGUUGGUGGGAUAAAAGCUUACCAAGCCGACGAUCUGUAGCUGGUCUGAGAGGACGACCAGCCACACUGGGACUGAGACACGGCCCAGACUCCUACGGGAGGCAGCAGUGGGGAAUUUUGGACAAUGGGCGAAAGCCUGAUCCAGCAAUGCCGCGUGCAGGAUGAAGGCCUUCGGGUUGUAAACUGCUUUUGUACGGAACGAAAAGGCUCUGGCUAAUACCUGGGGCACAUGACGGUACCGUAAGAAUAAGCACCGGCUAACUACGUG